CAGCAGCCGCGGUAAUACGUAGGUGGCAAGCGUUGUCCGGAAUUAUUGGGCGUAAAGGGCUCGCAGGCGGUUUCUUAAGUCUGAUGUGAAAGCCCCCGGCUCAACCGGGGAGGGUCAUUGGAAACUGGGAAACUUGAGUGCAGAAGAGGAGAGUGGAAUUCCACGUGUAGCGGUGAAAUGCGUAGAGAUGUGGAGGAACACCAGUGGCGAAGGCGACUCUCUGGUCUGUAACUGACGCUGAGGAGCGAAAACGUGGGGAGCGAACAGGAUUAGAUACCCCCGUAGUCCCUGUCUCUUAUAC
rnacentral:rRNA from 1 species